UACGUAGGGGGCUAGCGUUGUCCGGAUUUAUUGGGCGUAAAGAGCGUGUAGGCGGCCAUGUAGGUCCGGUGUGAAAACUCGAGGCUUAACCUCGAGAUGUCAUCGGAAACCAUUUGGCUAGAGUCCGGAAGAGGAGAGUGGAAUUCCUGGUGUAGAGGUGAAAUUCGUAGAUAUUCGCAAGAACACCAGUGGCGAAGGCGGCCGACUGGUCCGGUUCUGACGCUGAGGCGCGAAAGCGUGGGGAGCAAACAGG
rnacentral:rRNA from 1 species